rnacentral:rRNA from 1 species
GCCUAACCUAACAUGCAAUUAAAACACUAAUUGCUCGCCAAAUAACUACGAGUAAAAACUUAAAAUUUAAAAGACUUGACGGUACUUCACACCGCCCUAGAGGAGCCUGUCUAAUAACCGACACCCCACGAUUAACCCAACCCACCCUAGCCCAACAGUCUAUAUACCGCCAUCGCCAGCUCACCUUGUAAAAGAAACAUAGCGAGCCCAAAAGCAUCCACCACUAACACGAUAGGUCGAGGUGUAACUAAUGGGUGGGAUCAGAUGGGCCACAUUUUCUAAUAUAGAAAAUACGAAUAGACUAUGAAAGUAGAAACCGAAGGAGGAUUUAGCUAGUAUGUUGAGGACAAAAUGCUCAACCGAAAUAAACGCAAUGAAGUGCGU